UACGAAGGGCCCGAGCGUUAUCCGGAUUUAUUGGGUUUAAAGGGUGCGUAGGCGGAAUAGUAAGUCAGUGGUGAAAGCCUGUUGCUUAACAACAGAACUGCCAUCGAUACUGCUAAUCUUGAGUACAUAUGAUGUGGGCGGAAUGUGCCAUGUAGCGGUGAAAUGCUUAGAUAUGGCACAGAACACCGAUUGCGAAGGCAGCUCACAAAACUGUUACUGACGCUGAGGCACGAAAGCGUGGGGAUCAAACAGG
rnacentral:rRNA from 1 species